rnacentral:rRNA from 1 species
AUUGAACGCUGGCGGCAGGCCUAACACAUGCAAGUCGAGCGCGCGGCGGACUGGUGAGUAAUUUCUGGGAAACUGCCUGAUGGAGGGGGAUAACUACUGGAAACGGUAGCUAAUACCGCAUACCAUCAGCUUUGCCCCUAUGGGAUUAGCUAGUAGGUGGGGUAACGGCUCACCUAGGCGACGAUCCCUAGCUGGUCUGAGAGGAUGACACGCCACAAUGGAACUGAGAAACGGUCCAGACUCCUACGGGAGGCAGCAGUGGGGAAUAUUGCACAAUGGGCGCAAGCCUGAUGCAGCCAUGCCGCGUGUAUGAAGAAGGCCUUCGGGGUGUAAAGGACUUUCAGCGGGGAGGCGUUACCCGCAGAAGAAGCACCGGCUAACUCCGUGCCAGCAGCCGCGGUAAUAC